GACGAACGCUGGCGGCGUGCCUAAUACAUGCAAGUUGAGCGCUGAAGGUUGGUACUUGUACCAACUGGAUGAGCAGCGAACGGGUGAGUAACGCGUGGGGAAUCUGCCUUUGAGCGGGGGACAACAUUUGGAAACGAAUGCUAAUACCGCAUAAAAACUUUAAACACAAGUUUUAAGUUUGAAAGAUGCAAUUGCAUCACUCAAAGAUGAUCCCGCGUUGUAUUAGCUAGUUGGUGAGGUAAAGGCUCACCAAGGCGAUGAUACAUAGCCGACCUGAGAGGGUGAUCGGCCACAGUGGGACUGGGACACGGCCCAAACUCCUACGGGAGGCAGCAGUAGGGAAUCUUCGGCAAUGGACGAAAGUCUGACCGAGCAACGCCGCGUGAGUGAAGAAGGUUUUCGGAUCGUAAAACUCUGUUGGUAGAGAAGAACGUUGGUGAGAGUGGAAAGCUCAUCAAGUGACGGUAACUACCCAGAAAGGGACGGCUAACUACGUG
rnacentral:rRNA from 1 species